CCUACGGGUGGCUGCAGUGGGGAAUAUUGGACAAUGGGCGAAAGCCUGAUCCAGCCAUGCCGCGUGUGUGAAGGAGGCCUUCGGGUUGUAAAGCACUUUCAGUGGGGAAGAAAGCCUUGGGGCUAAUACCCUCGAGGAAGGACAUCACCCACAGAAGAAGCACCGGCUAACUCCGUGCCAGCAGCCGCGGUAAUACGGAGGGUGCGAGCGUUAAUCGGAAUUACUGGGCGUAAAGCGCGCGUAGGCGGUCUGAUAAGCCGGUUGUGAAAGCCCCGGGCUCAACCUGGGAACGGCAUCCGGAACUGUCAGGCUAGAGUGCAGGAGAGGAAGGUAGAAUUCCCGGUGUAGCGGUGAAAUGCGUAGAGAUCGGGAGGAAUACCAGUGGCGAAGGCGGCCUUCUGGACUGACACUGACGCUGAGGUGCGAAAGCGUGGGUAGCAAACAGGAUUAGAUACCCGGGUAGUC
rnacentral:rRNA from 1 species